rnacentral:lncRNA from 1 species
CGCAAAACCAGGCCACUCACAGCCCUAAACGUGUCUCCGACUCUUCCCUUUCCCUUUUUUUUUUUUCACGUUGAAAAAGACAAGGACGCACUGCAAAAAUUCCCAAGAUUAAAGGGAUCAUUUUGCUUGCUCCCAUGAUCUGGAAGCCAAAUCUGCUGUUUCUCUGCCCAAGGUGCGCUGCGGGCCCGUCUAGCCCUGCGCCGGCGGGGGAAAGCCCUGCCAGCCGAGGCAGCCUGCACGUCGGUGACAGCCGGAUCUGCUUAUCGGUGGUGAUAAAGCCACGCCAAACUCCGCAGAGAGCCAGCAAACUGCGGUGUGGGCACGACGGAGCCAUGAAUUUUCAUUAAAAGGAGGGGGGGGGGAAGCAUUUCCAGUAUUUCCCUGUGUGUCUUUGGCCUGGCGCAGCCCUUCUGCUCACUGCUCUGUUUAUACAUGAUAGACAACUAAUUAACAUCCAAGCCUCUUGAAAGGUCUUUUCAGAGGUAAUGUACUGACAGAGGAUGUCAGUAAGGAGCAGUGAUUUGUCUAAGCAGUGAUCACAUUGUUUCAGACUGAAUGAGGUGAAUAUUAAACUGCUUUAAAUGCACUCUUCAUAAAGCACUAAUUACAUACUCCCGGGGGAGUACGGGCAAGGAAUACUAAACAGCAGAAAAGUCAACAGAGUUCUUUUUAUAGUAUGUUGCUGGGUUCUGUGUUUUUCUGUCUUUCUUUCUCUUGUGCACUCUCUCUCGCACUCUCUCUCUCUCUCUCUCUUUUACAGUAAAAUCACAGCACGCUGAAGAAUAC